AGUGAACGCUGGCGGCAGGCCUAACACAUGCAAGUCGAACGGCAGCACAAGAGGGCUUGCUCUCUGGGUGGCGAGUGGCGGACGGGUGAGGAAUGCAUCGGAAUCCCCCCAUUUGUGGGGAAUAACCUCGGGAAACCGGGACUAAUACCGCAUACGACCUACGGCUGAAAGCAGGGGAUCUUCGGACCUUGCGCAGAUGGAUGAGCCGAUGCCGGAUUGGCUAGUUGGGGGGGUAAAGGUCCACAAAGGCGACGAUCCGUUGCUGGUCUGAGAGGGGGGUCGGCCACACGGGGACUGAGACGCGGCCAAGGGUCCUAAGAGAGGCAGCAGUGGGGAAUGUUGGACAAUGGUCGCAAGUCUGACACAGCCAUGCGGCGUGUGUGAAGAAGGCCUUCGGGUUGUAAAGCACGUUUGUUGGGAAAGAAAAGCAUCCGGUUAAUACCCGGUUGGCAUGGCGGUACCCAAAGAAUAAGCACCGGCUAACUUCGUG
rnacentral:rRNA from 1 species